GCUGGGUUCAGAACGUCGUGAGACAGUUCGGUCCCUAUCCGUCGUGGGCGUAGGAAAUUUGAGAGGAGCUGUCCUUAGUACGAGAGGACCGGGAUGGACAUACCUCUGGUGUACCAGUUGUCGUGCCAACGGCAUAGCUGGGUAGCUAUGUAUGGACGGGAUAAGUGCUGAAAGCAUCUAAGCAUGAAGCCCCCCUCAAGAUGAGAUUUCCCAACUUCGGUUAUAAGAUCCCUCGAAGAUGACGAGGUUAAUAGGUUCGAGGUGGAAGCGUGGUGACACGUGGAGCUGACGAAUACUAAUCGAUCGAAGACUUAAUCAA
rnacentral:rRNA from 1 species